GCCACAAUCACAUAGAGAAUGAUCCCUAAUUCUAAGUUUUGCUAGAAAGACUGGAGUGCAGGCAUGGUUUAAACGGUAGAGCACAAGUCAUGAGUGAAUAUUUCUGAAUACUGAAAGGAACCUGAAUGAGCAGCUGAUCUAGCACAGGCAUCUGCAUUUUCAUUACCAGAGAUGCCCAUGUGACCUGGAAUCCAAGCUAAAACUAUGUUAAUUUUGAGUUCAUAGCACUCUUUCAAAGUUUCUCUUAUUUUGAGAAUGAUGGGAAACUGACUUUUUGUCUUAAACGGAUUUGAGAGAAUUGAUUGGAGGCAACUUUUAGAGUCUGAAAGGAUAAUAGAAUUGUUCAUGUUGUGAGACUUAACAAAUAGAAUAGCUUCAAGAAUGGCGAUUGAUUCCCCUGUGAACACAGAAGUGGUGGGUGGGCAGCUAUAACUCAGUAUAAUUCUUGUUGAGGGAAUCCAUACUGCAGCCCCAACCGGACUCAUGUCUGUUUUUGAAGCAUCCGUGUAGAUUUUAUACCAAUGUCGAAAAUCUGAGUCCAUUAUAUGAGAAAAAGUUUUAUUUGCUUCUAUAGAAAACUUAUCAACACCUAAGUCUAAAAUUACUGAGGGUUGGAAAGUAAGAGCAUUGAAAGGCAUAGAAAAUAAAGGCAAUUUAGAAUAUUGAAAGAGAGGGUUAGAGAGCUGAGAAAAUAAAAGAAACUUUUGCAAGAGCAGAAGAGAGGGCAAUUGGCCUAUAGCUGGUAGCUUCAGAUGGAUUCUGACCAGGUUUAAGUAAUGUAAUAAUUACCUGAU